GACGAACGCUGGCGGCGUGCCUAAUACAUGCAAGUAGAACGCACAGUUUAUACCGUAGCUUGCUACACCAUAAACUGUGAGUUGCGAACGGGUGAGUAACGCGUAGGUAACCUGCCUGGUAGCGGGGGAUAACUAUUGGAAACGAUAGCUAAUACCGCAUAAUAUUAAUUAUUGCAUGAUAAUUGAUUGAAAGAUGCAAUUGCAUCACUACCAGAUGGACCUGCGUUGUAUUAGCUAGUAGGUGAGGUAACGGCUCACCUAGGCGACGAUACAUAGCCGACCUGAGAGGGUGAUCGGCCACACUGGGACUGAGACACGGCCCAGACUCCUACGGGAGGCAGCAGUAGGGAAUCUUCGGCAAUGGACGAAAGUCUGACCGAGCAACGCCGCGGGAGUGAAGAAGGGUGUCGGAUCGUAAAGCUCUGUUGUAAGAGAAGAACGGGUGUGAGAGUGGAAAGUUCACACUGUGACGGUAGCUUACCAGAAAGGGACGGCUAACUACGUG
rnacentral:rRNA from 1 species